GUAGGGAAUAUUGGACAAUGGGCGAAAGCCUGAUCCAGCCAUGCCGCGUGUGUGAAGAAGGUCUUCGGAUUGUAAAGCACUUUAAGUUGGGAGGAAGGGCAGUAAGUUAAUACCUUGCUGUUUUGACGUUACCAACAGAAUAAGCACCGGCUAACUUCGUGCCAGCAGCCGCGGUAAUACGAAGGGUGCAAGCGUUAAUCGGAAUUACUGGGCGUAAAGCGCGCGUAGGUGGUUUUGUAAGUUGGAGGUGAAAUCCCCGGGCUCAACCUGGGAACUGCCUCCAAAACUGCAUGACUAGAGUACGGUAGAGGGUAGUGGAAUUUCCUGUGUAGCGGUGAAAUGCGUAGAUAUAGGAAGGAACACCAGUGGCGAAGGCGACUACCUGGACUGAUACUGACACUGAGGUGCGAAAGCGUGGGGAGCAAACAGGAUUAGAAACCCGUGUAGUCC
rnacentral:rRNA from 1 species